AGUGGCGAACGGGUGAGUAACAUAUCGGAACGUAUCCAAUAAUGGGGGAUAACUAAUCGAAAGGUUGGCUAAUACCGCAUACGCCCUACGGGGGAAAGCUAGGGACCUUCGGGCCUGGCGUUAAUGGAGCGGCCGAUAUCUGAUUAGCUAGUUGGUGGGGUAAAGGCCCACCAAGGCGACGAUCAGUAGCUGGUCUGAGAGGACGACCAGCCACACUGGAACUGAGACACGGUCCAGACUCCUACGGGAGGCAGCAGUGGGGAAUUUUGGACAAUGGGCGCAAGCCUGAUCCAGCCAUUCCGCGUGAGUGAAGAAGGCCUUCGGGUUGUAAAGCUCUUUCGCAAGGGAAGAAAACUUAGGCUCUAACAUAGCCUGAGGUUGACGGUACCUUGAUAAGAAGCACCGGCUAACUACGUGCCAGCAGCCGCGGUAAUACGUAGGGUGCGAGCGUUAAUCGGAAUUACUGGGCGUAAAGCGUGCGCAGGCGGUUUUGUAAGUCAGAUGUGAAAUCCCCGAGCUCAACUUGGGAACUGCGUUUGAAACUACAAGACUAGAAUAUGUCAGAGGGGGGUAGAAUUCCACGUGUAGCAGUGAAAUGCGUAGAGAUGUGGAGGAAUACCAAUGGCGAAGGCAGCCCCCUGGGAUAAUAUUGACGCUCAUGCACGAAAGCGUGGGGAGCAAACAGGAUUAGAUACCCUGGUAGUCCACGCCCUAAACGAUGUCUACUAGUUGU
rnacentral:rRNA from 1 species